AUGUCUCAUGAGUUUAAUUUUGCUAAAUUUCGUAGACAACCCCAUGAUAAAGAAUUGCCUAGUAAGGAUGAAAUUAUUGGUCUUGCUUCUAUUGUCGUGCCUCCUAAUGAUCCUUUAGAACAAUAUUUUUUAGACCAUGAAAAUGAUAUGUUUAUGAAUGAAAGAAGGGAGAUAGAUGAACUAUUCUUUAAACAGGGACCUAUUUUGAAACACAACUUGCCUAUUGAAAUUCUAGGGGAUCCUCCACCACCCAAGGGUGAUCCUGUGUUUGAGCUUAAACCACUACCUGAUACUCUUAAAUAUGCUUAUCUUGAUGAAAAGAAGAUAUAUCCUAUUAUUAUUAGUGCUAACCUUCCAGAGCUGGAAGAGGAGAAAUUAUUAAAAACUCUGAAGAAGCACGUGCUGCUAUUGGAUAUACUCUUGAUGACCUUAAGGGCAUUAGUCCAACUCUAUGCCAGCAGAAGAUAA
rnacentral:rRNA from 1 species